rnacentral:rRNA from 1 species
UUUUACGGUAGUCCUCGGCGUCCAGGAUAAAACGGACUGGCGGCGCACAUAAGACAUGCAAGUCGAACGGACUUUAACCAUUAGUUUUACUAUUGGAGCGGUUAGUGGCGGACUGGUGAGUAACACGUAAGCAACCUGCCUAUCAGAGGGGAACAACAGUUAGAAAUGACUGCUAAUACCGCAUAUGCCAUGAAUAUCACAUGAUAUAAAUGGGAAAGGAGCAAUCCGCUGAUAGAUGGGCUUGCGUCUGAUUAGAUAGUUGUGGGGUAACGGCCUACCAAGUCGACGAUCAGUAGCCGGACUGAGAGGUUGAACGGCCACAUUGGGACUGAGAUACGGCCCAGACUCCUACGGGAGGCAGCAGUCGGGAAUAUUGCGCAAUGGAGGAAACUCUGACGCAGUGACGCCGCGUGCAGGAAGAAGGUUUUCGGAUUAUAAACUGCUUUAGACAGGGAAGAUAAUGACAGUACCUGUAGAAUAAGCUCCGGCUAACUACGUG